rnacentral:rRNA from 1 species
UACGUAGGGUGCGAGCGUUAAUCGGAAUUACUGGGCGUAAAGCGUGCGCAGGCGGUUUUGUAAGCCAGAUGUGAAAUCCCCGGGCUUAACCUGGGAAUGGCAUUUGGGACUGCAAGGCUUGAGUGCGGCAGAGGAGACUGGAAUUCCUGGUGUAGCAGUGAAAUGCGUAGAUAUCAGGAGGAAUACCGAUGGCGAAGGCAGGUCUCUGGGCUGACACUGACGCUCAUGCACGAAGCGU